AUUGAACGCUGGCGGCGUGCUUAACACAUGCAAGUCGAACGCGAACGGGGCUUCGGCCCCAAGUAGAGUGGCGCACGGGUGAGUAACGCGUGGACAAUCUGCCCUUAUGACUGGAAUAACAGUUGGAAACGGCUGCUAAUACCGGAUACGCUCAGGAAGAACUUUUUGAGGAAAGGCGGCCUCUGCUUGCAAGCUGUCGCAUAAGGAUGAGUCCGCGUCCCAUUAGCUAGUUGGCGGGUAACGGCCCACCAAGGCAACGAUGGGUAGCCGAUUUGAGAGGAUGAUCGGCCACACUGGGACUGAAACACGGCCCAGACUCCUACGGGAGGCAGCAGUGGGGAAUAUUGCGCAAUGGGCGAAAGCCUGACGCAGCGACGCCGCGUGAGGGAUGAAGGGUUUUUUCCGGAUCGUAAACCUCUGUCAGAAGGGAAGAAACUGCCGUGCUCUAAUCAUCAUGGCAUUGACGGUACCUUCAAAGGAAGCACCGGCUAACUCCGUGCCAGCAGCCGC
rnacentral:rRNA from 1 species